CUGUCUCCUGGGUACUGGGAUUAAAGGUGGGCACAGCUAUGACUGAUGUCAUCACUCCCUACCUAUCUUUUUAAGAGCUACUCCAAGUGGGCCUGUCAAUCACCUGAGGAGGAACAAAAGUACCAAAACAAAAACCAAACCAAACCAAAGGUCUGUUCUACAGACAUUUGUGCUUUAAACCCUUCCUAAAAAUGUAGGCUGGCACCAUGAAUCUCCUUGGCCAGUGCCUGUUCUGGCCCCUUGUGAGCUGGUUUUUAUGCCAAUGGGUCUCUUUGGCCACUGUUUCUCUCUCCUUUGGGUGACUUCAUUUUACAAUAGUGCAGCCCAUUUAUCGUCCUUUGACAGUGUGCUCUUGUGUGCCUCAUCUGAAUUCUCUCAUUGACACACAAAUGAAGAGCUUGGGUGAGUUCAGACGUAGAGCCAAGGGACAAAAAGGUGGUUUGAGGAUACAAUAAAACAAUUUAUGUAACUCUCCUGGGUUAUUUUGGAUCUUGACAAGUAGAAACUAGUGUCGAUUUUACACAAAAGCAAAGACUGAGCCUGCUCAUCACAAAGGAAGGAGAAUAAAUAUAUUCUGUUUGAAAAGAAAUUCAGGGCAGUUAGGAAUGGGCAGACUCGCUAUGGACAAUAGCACAAGCAUAGGGUCCCAGCAGUCAGGAGGCCGAGACGUGUGGAUGGAGUUGCCUAUCAUCCUCAGCCACACUGGGUGUUUAAGGACAUCUUGGGUUACAGCCCUUUCCUCAACAAAACAGCAGCGAGCAUGAAAAACAAAACAAAACAAAACAAAAUCUAACUUCCCCAGGGGGUAAAAAGGCCCACCUGGGUUAGAGAUCCCACAAGGCUGGCUGAAUUCCCAAGAUUGGAGAUGAAAUGUUACGGGUCCAGAGCGAGAGUAUCUUGUGCUAUCUUUAGAAGAGCAGAGAACACUGCUCAUCAAAAGCAGCACGCAGAUCGACCGACUAGUAUGGAGAAGCUUGAGAUUUUUCGGGGGGUGGGGGUGGGGAUGAAAACUGAUACAGAAGGAAAUGUUCAGAAAACCUAACUUUUUUUUUUUUUUUUUUUUUUGCUUAGGACGGUUAGUAGUGUUGUCAGAUCUAGAAUCAUGUAGGAGAUGGGCCUCUGAGUAUAUCUGUGGGGGAUCAUUCUGACUACAGUGACUGGAAAGGACACACCUAAUGUGGGAAGAGAUCCUGGACGGUACAAACUUGAAGACAAUGCGCUAAGCAUAUUAAAAACUCGGGCAUGGUGGCGUUUGUAAAUCCCAGUGCUGGGGGUGGGGGGGCAGAGAAGGCUGGAACUUGAGGGCUCUAAAGCUAGCCAGUUUAGUGUAAUUGGCCAGUCCCAGAUUAUCAGUGAGAGACUGUCUCAGAAGCCUCCUGGAGAGUUACUUCUGGUGUCCGCAGGGACCUGACCUGUGCUCACACUUACAAACAUACAUGCACACACACUCGAAGGCUGACACAAAAGCAUCCGUUAUGGCCAAUUAUCUACUUGCUAAACGGAACACAAUGGAACUCGCAUCACAUGUGAAUUUAUUGUUAUUCAACAAAUUCUGACGUAAGAAAACGCGACCACUUUGCCUACUUUUCUCCUCAGUGUGCCUUCAACAUGGUAUGACAGACUUUCACAAACAGGGGUGGCAAAGUCACCAUCUCUGGAAUUUCUUACCACACCUCUGAAAGGCUGAGAUCAUUGGCGUCCGUUACCAAGUCAGACGCCUAAUAAACCGCAAGAAGAAAGUUGUUUGAGUAACGUCACUCAAGCCGGAAGGCAAACGCUGAGCGCCAAACAGGUCCGGUUGCGCACGUCCGGCGAUGUGCCGCCGCCCCACCUUUGCAGUCCCGCAGUAGAGAGCCUCGGCUCGGCCGCUGUGUUUGCCCACGCGGCCGGAGGACAGGUCGCGACACUGCACCGGCGCUCCCUAAGGCUGUACCUUGUACAGAAACUUUCGUCUACCCUGCCCAGUGAAGUUCCCUCUCCCGGGCUCACGUGAGAGCUUGAGUCGCGGUAAACUCAGUUCCGCCUGAGGACUGGGCGGCCUGACCGGAAAGGCGGGGUUUGGACGCGCUGAACUCCUUCCGACUACCUAGCCAAUCGCAGGCCAGCUGUGUCGCAGCAGCCAAUAGGAGAGGCCCGGCGCCUUUUGGGCCUGCGCAGGCAGGUUCCCUCUUGCCAUUCUGUCCUCCUUUUGUUAGAGUUCGGCUGUGCCUUCGGUCCUUACCUACUGGUUCGCAAUCCGGCGCCAUCGCGCUUUGGGCGAGCAUGGUGAUGGGGAGUAGCGAGGUGGGAACCGAGCUGACGUCUGUCUGGUCUUGGCGACCGUGGCGCGCGACCGGGAGGACUGGCCGGAGCAUGUCUCCAGGAGACGGGUCAAUGGUGCGGAGGUGACGCAGGAGCUCUUGGUGUGACCUGGGCCUAUGUAUGAUACCACAGGAGCUUGACCGAGGAUGCUCUGGUGUUUUAAUAAGUGACCCCUUUUUCUGAAGAUGUUGGGUGGUUAAUGAAAGAAGGAAUUGUAUUCUUGGCGAUGUCUGAAAGAAAUGUGUGGCUUUGAAAGAAGAUUAUGAAAUAUACAGGAAAGGAGUGAAAUCAAAGGAUGUUUUUCCAUGAUAGAGUAAUGUUUACACAUGUAUUCAGUAAUGUGAAGAUUUAUAUAAGGUAAGGGAUUUGUAAACUUACUAAGUUGUUUUUUUGUUUUUUUUUUUUUUUUUCUACUUCAUUUUUUUCCUUUUUUCACUUUUCAGCAGUAAGAAGAACUAAGUUCUUUAUGUGAGCCGGACUUCUAAGUUACUAGGCUGGUGGCCUUCAGCUCUAAUUUUAAUUUACAUCAGUCUUUCAGGGACCUGGGAUUUCCAUGAUUGCUGGCUUGGUUUUUCCCCAGAGUCCUGAUGUGUAGAAAUAACUUUGAGGGGAUACAACCAGUAGGAAACGUGGCUGGGGAUCAGUGUAACCGAACCUGUGGCUGUGUGAAAGCCAGUAACUGUUUCCCUGAUGUCAUCUAUGCCUGAGCACUUUCUUUAUGUGUGGAAGAAGGUAUUUGUGCCCUGGCCUCACUGCCUCCGUAAUGUCAUCCAGACCAGCAGACACCCAGACCAGCAGACACCCAUUAGUUAGUUGGAUUAGGAGUCAGUGCUGGAUGGCAUGGCUGUACAGAGGGUACUCUUCCGUGGCCUCUUAGCUGGACCAAAUGGACAGGUGGGAUUUUACAACCACCAGUAAAAGGAGAACUGGUAGGGUGACAGCUAAAGGGGUUACUUAGCUCCUUCUAAAUGAAGAAUGUCACUUUGACAUUAGGAAGUUGGGGAUAAUCAGAGGUAUGGCCCAGCAGUUAAAGAAAUACUGCAAAAGGGAGCUAGCUAGUCCUCAGUUCAGUGUUCUAGCUCCUUCUGUCAACAGUCCUCUCCUUAUGGCACACCUGCCUGCCUGCUGGCCUGGUGUGUGUCUUCUCAUCUAGAGAACCUGAAACUACAGAUACUUCUAAAAUCAACUGGGAAGCAAAACCAUAAAAUCAGCAAGACAGUUGGUUCACAACAACCUUUAUGUCUGCCAAUAAUGGAAAAGUAGAAAGUUCUAUGACAAAUAGCCUAUAAAUGUUGAAAAAUAAAAACAAAAUGACCCCUAGACUGGAGCCCAGGCUCUUCUAUUACAGGGAGACCCCCGUCCCUCUAAUGUGUCCUCCCUCUCUGGGGCCCAUGCCUCAUUCCUUCUCUAACAAACCUGUUCUUCACACAGGCCUGGUGACCUCAGUUAAUUCCUGGGAUCCACAGUGUGGAAGAAGAGACCUGACUCCUGAAAGUUGUCUUCUGACCACAUAUACAUAAUAAGUAAACAAAUGUAAUUUUGAAAUCUCAAAAUAGUAAAGUUAAAAAACAUAAGAAUGCUGCUGUUUUCUGAAAUGUAAGCAUGAUGCAAAGGACUUGUGACAGUUUUGUUUAAACUUUAUCUUCUUGAAAUGAGAAAGGGAUUAAACUGUCAAAAGAAUUAAACUCUUUGUAAUUCUUUCCCUUUUUGUAAAGAUUUAUUUGUAACGGUAAUGCCGUCUGCAGUGCCCUCGGUGAGGCUGGAGUGACAGGCAGCUGUGAGCUGUGUGAGAUGGGUGUUGGAAACUGAACUCUCCUGCCUCUGGAUGAGCAGUAAGCUCUCUUAACUACUGAGCCGCCUCCAGCCCAGCUUUGUGAAAAUGAAUUUGAAGUCUUGCGUUGUGGAGAAAAAGCAAGAGUGCGUGCUGUGCUGGAAUGUUGUGACUGUCAAUGAACUGAAACUUCCUGUCCGAGUUGCUUUCUGUGGAGGGCUAGCUCAGACAGGUGACCUCAUGCACAUUCCUCAAUGCAGGAAGCACAUUAAAUGACGUAGCUACCUAAUAAAAAUAGCCAGUUUGUCGUCCCUGUGCCACUGCCUUAGCUGCUGCUUGCUCAUUUGUACUGUAAUAAUAAACAGUUUUCUCCUGC
rnacentral:sRNA from 1 species